UACAGAGGUGGCAAGCGUUGUUCGGAAUUACUGGGCGUAAAGGGUGCGCAGGCGGUCCUGCAAGUCAGGCGUGAAAUCCCCGGGCUUAACCUGGGAAUGGCACUUGAAACUACGGGACUGGAGUAUGGCAGAGGGAGGUGGAAUUCCACGUGUAGAGGUGAAAUUCGUAGAUAUCGGGAGGAACACCAGUGGCGAAGGCGGCGAUCUGGGAAGAUACUGACGCUGAGGUGCGAAAGCGUGGGGAGCAAACAGG
rnacentral:rRNA from 1 species